AACGCACCUUGCGCUCCUUGGUAUUCCGAGGAGCAUGCCUGUUUGAGUGUCAUGAAAUUCUCAACUGCACCGGGUUUCUUCGACCCGGCGUGAAGUUGGACUUGGAGGAUAACUGCUGGCGCACUCCCUCGGGAGAGCUUGUCGGCUCCUCUUGAAUGCAUGAGCUUUCCAGAUCGGUCAGCGACUCCGAUGUGAUAAAUAUCUACGUCGGUCGGUCCUUCCAAUCAAAGCUUCACCACCCGCUCGACGCCUCGUGCGCCCUGCGACUCUGACAAAUUCGACCUCAAAUCAGGUAGGACUACCCGCUGAACUUAA
rnacentral:misc_RNA from 1 species